AUCAGCUUGUUGGUGAGGUAAUGGCUCACCAAGGCGACGACGGGUAGCCGGCCUGAGAGGGCGACCGGCCACACUGGGACUGAGACACGGUCCAGACUCCUACGGGAGGCAGCAGUGGGGAAUUUUGGACAAUGGACGCAAGUCUGAUCCAGCCAUUCCGCGUGCAGGACGAAGGCCUUCGGGUUGUAAACUGCUUUUGUACGGAACGAAAAAGCUCUUAUUAAUACUAGGAGUCCAUGACGGUACCGUAAGAAUAAGCACCGGCUAACUACGUGCCAGCAGCCGCGGUAAUACGUAGGGUGCAAGCGUUAAUCGGAAUUACUGGGCGUAAAGCGUGCGCAGGCGGUUAUAUAAGACAGAUGUGAAAUCCCCGAGCUUAACUUGGGAACUGCAUUUGUGACUGUAUAGCUAGAGUACGGCAGAGGGGGAUGGAAUUCCGCGUGUAGCAGUGAAAUGCGUAGAUAUGCGGAGGAACACCGAUGGCGAAGGCAAUCCCCUGGGCCUGUACUGACGCUCAUGCACGAAAGCGUGGGGAGCAAACAGGAUUAGAUACCCUGGUAGUCCACGCCCUAAACGAUGUCAACUGGUUGUUGGGUCUUCACUGACUCAGUAACGAAGCUAACGCGUGAAGU
rnacentral:rRNA from 1 species